CAGAAAGACAUUUGUGAUGCACUAUUACAGUUAGGUAGCUUUUUUCGUCAACUAUGCUCUAAGUCAUUGAAGCUUGAUGUGCUGGAAAAGUUAGAAGAACAAAUAAUAUUUGUGUUGUGCAAAUUGGAAAUGAUUUUUCCACCUGCAUUUUUUGAUAUUGUGGUACACUUAGCAGUCCAUUUACCACAACAAGCAAGACUUGGUGGACCUGUACAGUAUAGAUGGAUGUUUUUUAUUGAAAGGUUCCUUGGUACUUUGAAAGGCAUGGUGAGCAAUAGGGCACAUCCAGAGGGUUCAAUCGCGGAAGCCUAUAUUAUGAAGGAGUGCUCAACAUUUUGCUCUAUGUAUCUCAAUGGAAUUGAGACAAGGUUCAAUAGGGAAGAGAGAAACUAUGAUGGAGAGAGGCAAUUCGCUGAUCACUACUCAAUAUUUUCAUCUAGAUUCCGUGCUUUUGGUCACAAGAAUGACGUAAUCCUAACACAAGAUCAAUAUAAUUCCCUGUGUUGGUACGUGCUCAAUAAUUGUGAAGAACUGCAAGGGUUCCUAUAUGAGCAUGAGGACGUUUUAGAGGCACAAGGUGUGGGAAAUAUAGCAAAUAGACAGAAACAAGAGUUUGCUACAUGGCUGC